AUAUUGCACAAUGGGCGCAAGCCUGNUGCAGCGACGCCGCGUGGGGGAUGACGGCCUUCGGGUUGUAAACCUCUUUCACCAUCGACGAAGGCCUGCUUUGGGUGGGUUGACGGUAGGUGGAGAAGAAGCACCGGCCAACUACGUGCCAGCAGCCGCGGUAAUACGUAGGGUGCGAGCGUUGUCCGGAAUUACNUGGGCGUAAAGAGCUCGUAGGUGGUUUGUCGCGUUGUUCGUGAAAUUCCCUGGCUUAACUGGGGGCGUGCGGGCGAUACGGGCAGACUGGAGUACUGCAGGGGAGACUGGAAUUCCUGGUGUAGCGGUGGAAUGCGCAGAUAUCAGGAGGAACACCGGUGGCGAAGGCGGGUCUCUGGGCAGUAACUGACGCUGAGGAGCGAAAGCGUGGGGAGCGAACAGGAUUAGAUACCCUGGUAGUCCACGCCGUAAACGGUGGGUACUAGGUGUGGGUUUCCUUCCUUGGGAUCCGUGCCGUAGCUAACGCAUUAAGUACCCCGCCUGGGGAGUACGGCCGCAAGGCUAAAACUCAAAAAAAUUGACGGA
rnacentral:rRNA from 1 species